CUACUGAUUAUGUUCCUUUACGUAUUUAUGGAUUUUCAUGUGGUUUGCUGAAUGAACUUCCGCAAUAGUAGUUUCUACUUGAAACUAUUAUUGCACGAAUUUAGCUUAGUUUGUUUACGGUUACAUAUUUGCAUAUUUAUGAAUAAAUAUGUAUGUGUUUGCUCUAGUGUCACUACACAAACCGAUUACUUGUCUUUUUAAGUUGAUUCAUUAUUACUUUUGCUUAUAUUUGUUGUUGGUUAUGAAUUAAGCACGCGGAUGAUUGAGCACCUUGCUGGAUGCUAUUGCAUUUUUUUUUUUAAGCUUUAGCUCAACGAUGGUUUACGCGUGAAACUGUCUUAUAUUUUAGGUUUAUUAUUUAAUAUUUAUUAUGAAUAUAGUAUGUAUGUAUUUUUAUAUAUAACUGCGAUUAAGUAUUUUUUUUUUUGCGUUUAGUCGCACUUUAGUUUCACUACUCGGCCGCGCGUGUGCAUCCUUUAGCGCGUUCAUCUGCGUUAUGCGUGCGCUACCAACGGCCCAGCCAGCUUGCUUCACUUUCUGGCCAAUUGGCCAUGCUUGGCUGAAGUAUGUUGGAGCCGCACACACGUUUUGGCUUGCUUGACACGGUGUUGACAUUUGUUUGUUGUAAGCACGGCCGGGCGACUUCAUCAUUUUUGGCGUUGCCUGUUGCCAAAAAGAUUUAAAACAAUGGCUUUCUUGGGCAACAGCCAGCUUGCCAUGCUGCUCCUCCUGCCUAACGGUGUUAUUUCCACUUUUUUUUUUGGUGGGUCAGGCUUGCAGCUGAUUCUUGUUGACUUUGGCUACAAGUGCUCUGAAGCUUGGAGUUAACUCCCGCACUAUUUGUAGUUAGUUUGAAGCGUUGCAUUGUUGACAAUCGACCACAUCUUCGGUGAUUUCGUCUGGUGCGUGCGUUCGACCAACGCGUGCGUCUGUUGGUGCGCGACGCUCGCUGUUGGCAGCUGCAUGAUUGAGACGGACGUAUUUUUUAUUUUUUGCUUAAUUACUGCUUUACCCAGUUGUUGUUGGUAGUUGGUUGUACGUAGGCACCAGCUCAGCCACCGCUGAUUGGGCAACUAUCAAUGCCGGUCAAUCUGAUUUCCGGUUAUUUCCGGUUGGCACUUUGCAAAUCCCGCUUCACAGCCCGCUGUUAUUCUUGUUGCUGUGUUCAACUCCAGUCUGUCAGUUGAUGUUCUUUCUUGGCCAUUGUUCACUUGGCCAUCACUCGCGUUGGCUAAUCGUCUGCACGUUUCAGGGGCGUGCCUGUAUGUUGGCUAUUGGCAUCAUAUUCUUUACCAUUUCAUGACAAUUGUUGAUGACUUUUUGAGUUGUUGGCAAUCGUCAGCGCCAAUAACACAAACACACGCACACCUUCCGCACUUCAUCCAGCCAAUCUUUGUUUUGUGUGUUUGUCUUAAUUCUUGGACUACCCAUUUACUACAAACAUCACAUCACUUUAGUUGCUCUUGGCCAGCGUUUGUGUGUUGGAAAAAAAACAAAAAAA